rnacentral:lncRNA from 1 species
CUGGUUUCACUAUCAUGUCAGGUCUUUGAACCUGCCAGGAUUUGGGAUGGUUUCCUUCGUUCCACUACACCGUGCUUUGAUUCUAGCUUGAUUACAAUGAGAUCAAAUUUCUAAGACGUAAGGACAUAGAGACCAAUUUUUUUUUUGUCUUUAUACCCCGUACAAAACCCAGCCAAGCAACGUUCACGCAUAACCCGAGUUCCUUCCCGCCUCUGUUAAAGGGCUUCUUUCUUUCCCUUAUCCAAGCCCUCACAGUGGAGAGAGAAACAAGCAGAAAUCUACUAGCAAGCCAGCUGUCUAUCCUUAGUGAAAAACACAAACAAACUGUGACACACUCAUGAAAUGGAAUUUUACCUGCGUGAAAAAUCCUCAGACCACAGCUGCAAGCAACAAUCCGGUGUGUUGGAGGCCUCGGUGUCCCUGGACCACUCCGCUGCUGCCUGGGUUCGUCUGUGCAGCAUGGGUUUGGAAAGGAC